rnacentral:rRNA from 1 species
GAUGAACGCUGGCGGCGUGCCUAAUACAUGCAAGUCGAGCGAACGGACGAGAAGCUUGCUUCUCUGAUGUUAGCGGCUGACGGGUGAGUAACACGUGGAUAACCUACCUAUAAGACUGGGAUAACUUCGGGAAACCGUAGCUAAUACCGGAUAAUAUUUUGAACCGCAUGGUGCAAAAGUGAAAGACGGUCUUGCUGUCACUUAUAGAUGGAUCCGCGCUGCAUUAGCUAGUUGGUAAGGUAACGGCUUACCAAGGCGACGAUGCAUAGCCGACCUGAGAGGGUGAUCGGCCACACUGGAACUGAGACACGGUCCAGACUCCUACGGGAGGCAGCAGUAGGGAAUCUUCCGCAAUGGGCGCAAGCCUGACGGAGCCACACCGCGUGAGUGAUGAAGGUCUUCGGAUCGUAAAACUCUGUUAUUAGGGAAGAACAUAUGUGUAAGUAACUGUGGACAUCCUGACGGUACCUAAUCAGAAAGCCCCGGCUAACUACGUG